CCCGGGUGGAGUUGGGUGAGGCGUUCAGUCUGAACCCUGAGCCCUGGAGGGAGCCGCAGUCCUCAAAGCCCUCCUUGGACAGAGAGCAGAGCCGACCUCCCCGCUGAGGGGAGCGGGGUCCUGGCCGGGCAGAGGUCUCCCACCCCCGACUCCAGGGAGCAUGCGCACCACCCUCCCCGUGAGGACAGGGUGACCCCGUCCCGCAGCCAUGGAUGCCGAGGCUCAGAGCACUGAAGCCGCAGGUCCAGAACUAUUGAAACCUCUUGUGCUCUGUUCUCUGAUCUGGCGAUCUUCCUCUGGGUUUAUACCAAAAGGCGAGUUCAAGUGCAUUGGAAGCAGCCGGUUCCCAACUGGGAGCCACGCGCCAUCGGCGGGGCAGGACCCAGGCCGCCUCCUUCGC
rnacentral:lncRNA from 1 species